UACAGGGGGUGCAAACGUUGCUCGGAAUCAUUGGGCGUAAAGCGCACGUAGGCGGUCUGUUAUGUCGGAUGUGAAAGCCCUUGGCUCAACUGAGGAAGUGCAUCCGAAACUGGCAGGCUAGAGUACGAAAGAGGAUCGCGGAAUUCCCGGUGUAGAGGUGAAAUGCGUAGAUAUCGUAAGGAAGACCAGUGGCGAAGGCGAAUCUCUGGACAGUUACUGACACUGAGGCACGAAGGCCAGGGGAGCAAACGGG
rnacentral:rRNA from 1 species